AACGCAAGGGUGAGGGAGGCACACGCAAAAAAGUUUAGUUUAGCUUAACACACAACAGCGAGCGAGCGAGUCCCCACAGACGUUCCUUCCUCUCCAAUCAAUUAAUCCAACAAUCUAAAUCGUUUCAAAACCCUAGCUAGGGUUCCAUCCAGCGAUCCAAUCAACCAUGGCGGACGAAGCUUCUUCUUCUCCUCCUCCAUCAUCAUCAUCAUCAUCAUCAUCUGCUGCUGCUGCUGCUGCUGCUGCUCCUCUUGGUUCGACCGUGAUCUCCUUAGUGAACAGGCUUCAGGACAUCUUCUCCCGCGUUGGAAGCCAAUCCACCAUCGACCUUCCUCAAGUCGCCGUUGUCGGCAGCCAGAGCAGCGGCAAGUCCAGCGUCCUCGAAGCCCUCGUUGGCCGCGACUUCCUCCCCCGCGGCAACGACAUCUGCACUCGCAGACCCCUCGUCCUUCAGCUCGUUCAGACUAAGCGUAAGCCCGAUGCCCCCGACGACGAGUACGGCGAGUUCCUUCAUCUCCCUGGCAAGAGGUUCCACGAUUUCUCCGAGAUUCGCCGCGAAAUUCAGGCUGAAACUGACAGGGAAGCAGGAGGGAACAAAGGUGUCUCAGAUAAGCAAAUUCGAUUAAAGAUUUUUUCGCCAAAUGUUCUUGAUAUCACACUUGUAGAUCUCCCAGGCAUUACAAAGGUUCCUGUUGGUGACCAGCCUUCUGAUAUUGAAGCUCGAAUCAGAACAAUGAUCAUGUCAUAUAUCAAAACUCCUACCUGUCUCAUUCUAGCUGUUACCCCAGCAAAUUCAGAUUUAGCUAAUUCAGAUGCUCUUCAGAUGGCAGGAAUUGCUGAUCCUGAUGGUAAUAGAACAAUUGGUGUAAUCACAAAGUUGGAUAUCAUGGACAGAGGUACUGAUGCCCGGAAUCUGUUACUAGGAAAAGUGAUUCCCCUUCGACUUGGUUAUGUAGGCGUUGUAAAUCGUAGUCAGGAGGAUAUUCUAAUGAACCGGAGUAUAAAGGAUGCUCUUGUUGCUGAAGAGAAAUUUUUUCGCAGUCGUCCUGUUUACAGUGGUCUAGCAGAUAGUUGUGGUGUUCCUCAACUAGCAAAGAAGUUGAACCAGAUUCUAGCACAACAUAUCAAGGCUGUGCUACCUGGGCUGAGAGCACGUAUAAGCACUUCACUUGUUGCUGUUGCCAAGGAGCAUGCAAGCUAUGGAGAAAUCACCGAGUCCAAGGGUGCACUUCUCCUGAAUAUUCUUUCAAAAUAUUGUGAAGCAUUCUCCUCCAUGGUUGAGGGAAAGAAUGAGGAGAUGUCUACAUCUGAGCUAUCUGGUGGAGCACGGAUUCAUUACAUUUUUCAAUCUAUCUUUGUCAGAAGUUUAGAGGAGGUGGAUCCGUGUGAAGACCUGACUGAUGAUGACAUUCGCACUGCCAUACAGAAUGCAACUGGGCCUAAAUCAGCAUUGUUUGUUCCAGAAGUUCCAUUUGAAGUUCUUGUGAGAAGGCAAAUAUCCCGCCUAUUGGAUCCAAGUCUUCAGUGUGCCAGAUUUAUAUAUGAUGAAUUAAUAAAGAUCAGCCAUCGCUGUAUGGUCACUGAACUGCAGCGAUUCCCAUUCUUGCGGAAGCGCAUGGAUGAAGUUAUAGGGAACUUUUUACGAGAAGGUCUUGAACCCUCAGAGAACAUGAUUGCACACAUAAUAGAAAUGGAGAUGGACUACAUCAACACUUCCCACCCAAAUUUUAUUGGUGGAAGCAAGGCGUUAGAAGCUGCAGUGCAGCAGACUAAGUCAUCUAGGGUUGUUAUACCUGUUUCUAGGCAGAAGGAUGCUCUGGAAUCUGAUAAAGGAUCAGCCUCUGAAAGAAGUGUGAAGCCUUGGGGUAUCCUUGGAAGACAAGCUAAUGGAGCAGUUACUGAUCCGGGUGUCCGUGCUGCUUCAGAUGUUGAAAAAAUUUUACCCUCUGGAAACACUGGUGGAUCAAGUUGGGGUAUCUCAUCCAUUUUUGGUGGAGGUGAUAGCCGAAUUUCUGUGAAAGAGAAUAUAGCUAGUAAACCACAUCCUGAACCAGUUCACAGCAUGGAGCAAUCAUUCUCUAUGAUCCAUUUGAGAGAGCCACCUCCUAUCUUGAGGCCAUCUGAGAGCAAUUCAGAGACAGAAGCUAUUGCAAUAACAGUAACAAACUUGCUUUUGAGAUCAUACUAUGACAUUGUCAGAAAAAAUGUUGAGGAUCUUGUCCCCAAAGCAAUUAUGCACUUCUUGGUAAACAACACUAAGAGAGAGCUACACAACGUCUUCAUCAAAAAGCUAUACAGAGACAACCUGUUCGAAGAGAUGUUGCAAGAACCUGAUGAGGUAGCUAUGAAAAGAAAGCGCUGUCGAGAACUUCUCCGAGCUUAUCAGCAGGCUUUUAAGGACUUGGAGGAAUUGCCUCUGGAAGCGGAAACAGUUGAAAGAGGAUACAGUUUGCCUGAAACAACUGGUUUGCCUAAAAUUCAUGGAUUACCAACGUCAUCGAUGUACUCAACAGGCAGUUCUGGAGACUACUAUGCAGCUUCUCCGAAGUACAGUAAGUCAAAAAGGUCUUCUCAUUCUGGGGAGCUUCAAUCUCCAUUGCAUGUUAAUGCAGAUUCCAAUGGAAGUGGAAGGCCAUUCAUGUCAGGUUUCUAUCCCACAAUUGAUGCAUGAGCUAUAGCUGAAUGAGGUCGUUGGUAGUUUAACUCGAGGCAUUUUAUUCAUUUGAUUACACUGCAACUUUCGGGAAUUGGAAUUCUACCACCCGGGAGCUGGACUGCAUGGAAUUACUGUUUAUCUAACUAAAUGGUCUUGAAUGUAGGCCACUGCUUUCUUUACAUUAGUACACUUUUUGUUCUCAUACAGCAUUGCCAUUAUUUACUAGUCUCCGGAGAAAGAAUAAUAGGAGCAGUUGCAGAUUGUUGUUUUGGCAGAAAUGGCUGACUUUGCAAACAAUAUUGCUUUUCAAUUUUAGAUAUGAUGUAGGGAUUUCCUAUGUGAUCGUUAUUGCAAUUGUUUUAAAGAAUUUUACAUUUAUUGUGUUUCUUCGGUUUUAAUCCCGUGAAAUAGCCACUAAAGUUUUUAUGUGAUGAUACACCUGGUUGAGUUGCGUCUCAGUUGUUAGAUUUACAUUACGAGUUGCUGUGAUUUAGGAUUUUUUUAUUUUUUUUUAGACUACAGGUAUCUUUGAAGAGAAUCUUAUUAGACAUGAUAUUAACACCGUAAAUGGAAAAAGUUUCCCCAUAAAUAUUGAAUUGAAUUGCGUUUCUCGAUAAUAUUAUUAAUUUUUACAAUUUUAUUUUAACACUUCAUUAGAUAAAAUUCAUGUGAAUUUUACAAAGCUCUUGUCUAGAUAAUUUUUUAUAAUAAAUAUUCAUUAAUUUAUUUCUAUUAUGACUUUCAUUUAAAAUUUUAAUAGAUUAAAUGAAUUAGAACAUGUAGAGCUUGGAAUGUUUUGUCAAAUUAAAAACAUCAAACUUACACAUUUUGAUACUUACUAAUUGUUGGUUUAUUGUUACAACUUUAGAGACUUUGUAACUAGAUUGACUUUAGUAGUAUGUGAAAUAAUUGUGGGAAUUUGAACUUAUUUUUAAUAUUUUAUAGUUUCUCUUAACAAUUUGAAAUUGCCACAAUAUUAAAAGUCUAAUAAUUUUGAAAACUAAAUUUAAUAGCUGUUUGGCAAGACAAUUGUCCAAGUCUUAGCUAUUUCUCCACCUUUGUCCUCCGGCCUCUUCCACCUCUUCUCAUUUACGAUUAGAAUCUUUUUGUGUUUUUUUUGAACGAAUUUUUUUCUAUGCAAAAAUAGAACAUCUUGUACAAGUCAUUGCUAAAGAUUUUUUCAUAUACUUUAUCAUUCUUCAAGGAUCCUUUCAUCCAUUAUGUUAGAUAUCAAGAAAAAUCAAUUUUGGUUUCAAGGAAUACACCUCUUUUGAUGAAUAAAUGGAAAUACUAUUUUAUCCAUGAAAGAACAAAAAAAUGAUAUGAUUCAAUCUCAAACCUAUUUGAAUGUAGCUGAUAACAGCGGAGCCCGCGAAUUGAUGUGUAUUCGAAUCCUAGGAGCUAGUAAUCGAUGAUAUGCUUAUAUUGGUGACAUUGUUGUUACUGUAAUCAAGGAAGCAGUACCAAAUAUGACCUUAGAAAGAUCAAAAGUGAUCAGAGCUGUAAUUGUACGUACUUGUAAAGAACUCAAAUGUAGCAACGGUAUACUAAUUCAGUAUGAUGAUAAUGCUGCAGUUGUCAUUGAUCAAGAAGGAAAUCCAAAAGGAACUCGAAUCUUUUGUGCAAUCGCACGGGAAUUGAGACAAUUAAAUUUCACUAAAAUAGUUUCAUUAGCACCCGAGGUAUUAUAAAAUUAUAAGGCAAAACCGUGAUAUGGAUAUAUUUGUUUUGUAAUGAAAAUGGAUUAAUUAAUAUAUUAUAUCUCACACAUAUCCCUUGCUAUUCAGUAAUUUCAUUUAAUUAUAACUUUGUUUUAUCUGACCUCAAUAUCAGUGUCUUUUUAUGGAUUACUAUUUCAAGUAUUGCUCCCAUUGAACUUCUUAUGUCAGGAUAUGGGUCAAAUAAUAAAUAUUCCUUUUUGGGUGGUCUACGAGCUGCUGCUCAAUCGAUUAGUUAUGAAAUACCAUUAACUCUAUGUGUGUUAUCAAUAUCUCUACGUGCGAUUCGUUGAGACAGAAGCUUUUCGAUACUAUUGCUAUACUCCCCCCUUUCUUUAUAGUGCUUUCUAGUAAAGAAGGAUAAUAAAUUGAAUAUAUAUCCUUAUCAUUAUUCUUUUUCGAAAUUCGGAUUGAAGAAUUUAAUCAGAUAGUUAUAUUAGUGAAAUAAAACAGCUUCUAUUGAAUAAAUUAAUAUCUCUUUUUGUCUAACUCACUUCCUUUUUUCUUUGUGAGUUUCGGGAGUAUCCCCAUUCAUAGGUCCGAGAUCCACAUCUAUGAGUUGAAAGGUCCGAAUGAUCCACUCUGUAAUCAGUUGUUAGAAUCAAUAGGUCUUCAAAUCUUUCAUUUGAAAAAAAGGAAACCCUUAUUAUUGGAUGACCAUAAUACUUUCCAAAAAUCGAAAUUCUUGAUCAAUGGAGGAACAAUAUCACCAUUUUUGUUCAAUAAGAUACCAAAGUGAAUGAUUAACUCAUUCCAUACUAGAAAGAAUUGCAGGAAAUCUUUUGAUAAUACGGAUUCCUAUUUCUCAACGAUAUCCCACGAUCAAGACAAGUGUAGCUUCUUUUCUGCAAAAUAGUGACUCCUCUCAUUAAUCAAAUACCUCUAAAACUUCAAUUAAUUCAAUUUUCACUCUCGAAUCUAUCAAAUACACACUCUAAACAUUGAAUCUCAAUUCAAGUAUCCCAAUUGUGCCUCAGAAAUCAGAUUCAGCAGAAUAUUCACAUACAUUAUGCAGAAACUUCCAGAAAUUGGUAAAAUCUGGUUAUGCAGAAUCUUAAACUCUUAACUACACAUUCACCUCAUCAAUUCUCAAUUUAAGCAUCCAAAUGCACCUCAGAAAAUCAGAUUCAGCAGUAUUUAUGCAGAGUUUUUAUAGAAUAACAGAAAUUUACAGAACAUUAAUAUGCAGAAUUCUAAAAAUACUAUAGAAAGCUUAAACUGGGUUAGAAAUAUGAGUUGCCUCUCACAAAGCGCUUCUUUAAUGUCACUAGCUUGACAUUAGUUGUUCCUCACUCAAGAUGAACCAUUUCAAGCAUGAUAUGUUUCUUGCAAACUCUUCUCCAUGAUAGAUCUUCAAUCUUUGGCCAUUGACCUUGAAUUCCCUCCCUGUUUUCUGAUCUUCUAUAAGAAUGGCUCCAAAGGGAGAGGUCUCCUUUAUUAAAAAUGGUCCAGACCAUCUAGAUUUUAAUUUCUCUGGAAACAAUUUUAAUCUUGAAUUGAAUAGCAGCACUUGCUGGCCAGGUCUGAAAUCUUUUUGCAGAAUGAACUUGUCAUGGAUUCUCUUAGUUCUUUCUUUGUACAACUUUGCAUUCUCAUAAGCUUGUUGUCUGAAUUCCUCUAAUUCAUGCAACUGCAGAAUUCUCUUCCUUCCAGCACUUGACAGAUCAAAGUUAAGCCAUUUUGUAGUCCAAUAUGCUCUAUGUUCCAGCUCUAGAGGUAGGUGACAGGCCUUUCCAAAUACUAACUGAUAUGGAGACAUACCAAUUGGAGUUUUAAAAGCAGUUCUAUAUGCCCACAAUGAAUCAUCCAGCCUCUUUGACCAAUCCUUCCUUGAGCUGUUCACUACUUUCUCUAGAAUUUGCUUGAUUUCUCACCAAGAUUAUAGUUUUCUUAGGGAUAAGGAACUUUGAUCUUGCAAUCUUUUGGUUUAUUAUACUUAAAACAAUGUUGAAUUAAAUCAUAUCUAAGGAAUUAGAAUGUUUUAAUUGAAUGUUAGGUUCACUGAGUUAAGGAAUUAACCUCUGAACAAUAGAACAUGAAACUGAUUGUCUUUCUUUCCAAAUGCUUGUUAAUUCAGAACUUUAUUGAUUAAACAUUGGAGUUUUGGUGAAGCAAUUCCCU